AUUAGGCAGUUGGCGGGGUAACGGCCCACCAAACCGACGAUGGAUAGGGGUUCUGAGAGGAAGGUCCCCCACAUUGGUACUGAGACACGGACCAAACUCCUACGGGAGGCAGCAGUGAGGAAUAUUGGUCAAUGGGCGUAAGCCUGAACCAGCCAAGUCGCGUGAGGGAUGAAGGUUCUAUGGAUCGUAAACCUCUUUUAUAAGGGAAUAAAGUGUGGGACGUGUCCUAUUUUGUAUGUACCUUAUGAAUAAGGAUCGGCUAACUCCGUGCCAGCAGCCGCGGUAAUACGGAGGAUCCGAGCGUUAUCCGGAUUUAUUGGGUUUAAAGGGUGCGUAGGCGGCCUUUUAAGUCAGCGGUGAAAGUCUGUGGCUCAACCAUAGAAUUGCCGUUGAAACUGGGGGGCUUGAGUAUGUUUGAGGCAGGCGGAAUGCGUGGUGUAGCGGUGAAAUGCUUAGAUAUCACGCAGAACCCCGAUUGCGAAGGCAGCCUGCCAAGCCAUGACUGACGCUGAUGCACGAAAGCGUGGGGAUCAAACAGGAUUAGAUACCCUGGUAGUCCACGCAGUAAACGAUGAUCACUAGCUGUUUGCGAUACAGUGUAA
rnacentral:rRNA from 1 species